AAACCUUAAUGAUGAGUUGCAUGUGAGUCCGUGUUUCACCUGAACCUCAUGAUUAUUCUUUCACUGCGCUGAUGGGUUU
ensembl:snoRNA